GGAGAGUUGGCAGAGCGGUCGAAUGCGGCGGUCUUGAAAACCGUUAGCCCGCGAGGGCUCGGGGGUUCGAAUCCCUCACUCUCCGCCA
rnacentral:tRNA from 1 species